GACGAACGCUGGCGGCGUGCCUAAUACAUGCAAGUUGAGCGCUGAAGGUUGGUACUUGUACCGACUGGAUGAGCAGCGAACGGGUGAGUAACGCGUGGGUAAUCUGCCUUUGAGCGGGGGACAACAUUUGGAAACGAAUGCUAAUACCGCAUAAAAACUUUAAACACAAGUUUUAAGUUUGAAAGAUGCAAUUGCAUCACUCAAAGAUGAUCCCGCGUUGUAUUAGCUAGUUGGUGAGGUAAAGGCUCACCAAGGCGAUGAUACAUAGCCGACCUGAGAGGGUGAUCGGCCACAUUGGGACUGAGACACGGCCCAAACGCCUACGGGAGGCAGCAGUAGGGAAUCUUCGGCAAUGGACGAAAGUCUGACCGAGCAACGCCGCGUGAGUGAAGAAGGUUGUCGGAUCGUAAAACUCUGUUGGUAGAGAAGAACGUUGGUGAGAGUGGAAAGCUCAUCAAGUGACGGUAACUACCCAGAAAGGGACGGCUAACUACGUG
rnacentral:rRNA from 1 species